CAAAAGUUAGUUUAAUUAAAAUAUAAGUUUUGGAUAUUUAAGAUAUAUUAAUACUUUUGA
rnacentral:tRNA from 1 species